UGGGGAAUUUUGGACAAUGGGCGAAAGCCUGAUCCAGCAAUGCCGCGUGUGUGAAGAAGGCCUUCGGGUUGUAAAGCACUUUUGUCCGGAAAGAAAUCCUUGGCUCUAAUACAGUCGGGGGAUGACGGUACCGGAAGAAUAAGCACCGGCUAACUACGUGCCAGCAGCCGCGGUAAUACGUAGGGUGCAAGCGUUAAUCGGAAUUACUGGGCGUAAAGCGUGCGCAGGCGGUUUGCUAAGACCGAUGUGAAAUCCCCGGGCUCAACCUGGGAACUGCAUUGGUGACUGGCAGGCUAGAGUAUGGCAGAGGGGGGUAGAAUUCCACGUGUAGCAGUGAAAUGCGUAGAGAUGUGGAGGAAUACCGAUGGCGAAGGCAGCCCCCUGGGCCAAUACUGACGCUCAUGCACGAAAGCGUGGGGAGCAAACAGGAUUAGAUACCCUGGUAGUCCACGCCCUAAACGAUGUCAACUAGUUGUUGGGGAUUCAUUUCCUUAGUAACGUAGCUAACGCGUGAAGUUGACCGCCUGGGGAGUACGGUCGCAAGAUUAAAACUCAAAUGAAUUGACGGGUCAAGCUG
rnacentral:rRNA from 1 species